rnacentral:tRNA from 1 species
AUUGGGGUGGUAAAGCAUGGUAAGCUGCGAAAGGUCUAAGCCUCUUGAAUCAGAGGCUCAAGUGCUCUCCCCAGCU